rnacentral:rRNA from 1 species
GAUGAACGCUGGCGGCGUGCCUAAUACAUGCAAGUCGAGCGAACGGACGAGAAGCUUGCUUUUCUGAUGUUAGCGGCGGACGGGUGAGUAACACGUGGAUAACCUACCUAUAAGACUGGGAUAACUUCGGGAAACCGGAGCUAAUACCGGAUAAUAUUUUGAACCGCAUGGUUCAAAAGUGAAAGACGGUCUUGCUGUCACUUAUAGAUGGAUCCGCGCUGCAUUGGCUAGUUGGUAAGGUAACGGCUUACCAAGGCAACGAUGCAUAGCCGACCUGAGAGGGUGAUCGGCCACACAGGAACUGAGACACGGUCCAGACUCCUACGGGAGGCAGCAGUAGGGAAUCUUCCGCAAUGGGCGAAAGCCUGACGGAGCAACGCCGCGUGAGUGAUGAAGGUCUUCGGAUCGUAAAACUCUGUUAUUAGGGAAGAACAUAUGUGUAAGUAACUGUGCACAUCUUGACGGUACCUAAUCAGAAAGCCACGGCUAACUACGUG